rnacentral:rRNA from 1 species
UGGCAGGUCAGCAUACUGCCGUGAAUACGUUCCCGGGCCUUGUACACACCGCCCGUCACACCAUGAGAGUUGGGAAUACCCGAAGCCUGUGAGCUAACGUAAGAGGCAGCAGUCGAAGGUAGAAUCAAUGAUUGGGGUGAAGUCGUAACAAGGUACC